rnacentral:tRNA from 1 species
GUUUUAAUAAUUUAAUAUAAAAUUUUGGUCUUGUAAAUCAACAAUAGGAAUCUUCCUUUAAAACA